UACGUAGGGGGCAAGCGUUGUCCGGAAUCAUUGGGCGUAAAGAGCGUGUAGGCGGCUCGGUAAGUCCGCUGUGAAAGUCCAGGGCUCAACCCUGGAAUGCCGGUGGAAACUGUCGAGCUAGAGUCCGGAAGAGGCGAGUGGAAUUCCCGGUGUAGCGGUGAAAUGCGCAGAUAUCGGGAGGAACACCUAUUGCGAAGGCAGCUCGCUGGGACGUCACUGACGCUGAGACGCGAAAGCGUGGGGAGCAAACAGG
rnacentral:rRNA from 1 species